rnacentral:misc_RNA from 1 species
GAUGAAGAACGCAGCGAAAUGCGAUAAGUAGUGUGAAUUGCAGAAUCCCGUGAACCAUCGAGUCUUUGAACGCAAGUUGCGCCCGAAGCCAUUAGGCCGAGGGCACGCCUGCCUGGGCGUCACACGUCGUUGCCCCCCCAUCUACUCCUUCGGGAUUGCGGGGGGCGGAUGAUGGCCUCCCGUGCGCCUCGUCGCGCGGUUGGCAUAAAUGCCAAGUCCUCGGCGACACACGCCACGACAAUCGGUGGUUGCGAAACCUCGGUUGCCCGUCGUGUGCGGUCGUCGCGCAUCGAGGGCUCGAAAAAAUUGCCGGGCUCCGGCUCGGCUUUCAACGCGACCCCAGGUCAGGCGGGGUUACCCGCUGAAUUUAAGCAUAUCAAUAAGCGGAGGA